CAGUGACUGUCAGUGUUAAAGUGUAACGAUUUUGUGGAAAAGAAUUUUGAAGUUUAACUAGAAUAAAAUGUGAGAAUACCACAAGUUCAAAUUCAUUUAAGCAUAUCCAGAUACCUUUUAAGGACUAUCAGUGACUUAUAAGAAGAUAUUACUGUCACAAUGGACCAUGACUUGGAAAACUUUACAUACGAACCAAUGUACAUUGAAGAGUACGUUCCCAUUUUUCACAUGUCAUUUUACAUAGAGGUACUAUAUGUCAUAGCCUUCCUAGCCGAUCUUUCAAUGACCAUCUACCUGAUAGUUGUCAUCAAAAAAUUCAAAACCCUCGAAAAUUCACGAUCUUACAAGUACCUUUUUGCCUAUGCCAUUUCAAACUUGUGCUACAUUCUAUUGUCACAAACUAUAGGCAUGUUCCUACAAGUGAUUACAAAUGGUUUGACAAGUAGGGGCAUGUUUAUUCUUGCAAACAUAGACAACUGUUGUAUGGAAUUAGGUUUUUACGUUCUAACUUUCAUGGCCAUCGACUGGUACGUUUUUAACUACUAUAAAUGCUUCUAUGACAAUCAUUUGAAGGUUUUAAUCAUGGAGUUUUAACAUUAUUUUUGAUAUUGCUUUUCAAAAGCGUAUUAGCUGUUAUUGUAUGUUUUCCUAAUGAUGAUAUGGAAGGGACAUUGAUGUUUUAUAUUUUCCUAGACAGUUUCAGUUUAGUUUCAUUUUAUCUAUGCUUUAUCAUGCUAACAUUUCUAUUUAUCAAAUGGAAACGUAAGGCGACUUCCAAUAUUACCAGAAAAUACGAAUAUUCUAUAAUUAUUCCUUGGACUUAUUUUAUGAUGUCUUCACCAAUGAAUAUAGUUAAUAUUUAUCCUAUUUUUUGGAGUCCUCCCUACGGUAAUGCUUUAUACGACACUAUUGACAUGUCUGCGGGGAUUUUGUCAAACAUGGCACUGGUAGUAAUUGUGUUUUUGUUAGGAAAAUACGAUAAACAUUUCAAAAUGGCGUACUUAAAGUGUUGCAAGAGAAGAUAUAAAAACAAUAAUUUUCAGGAUGAAGUUUCUGAAGAUGGUAGUGAAGAAAAUGGAGUGACUUAUGACGGACAUGUUGUCAAUUUAUAGUUUUGUUUUCGUUUAAUUAUACUUCAGAUUCAAUAAAUCAUAAUGAAAUAUUUGUCAUUA
rnacentral:lncRNA from 1 species